CUACUGUCUCCCUUCAGAUAUUGCUUUCAUAUUUGGUAUGCAUGUGUAUAGGGAUAAUACACGUUUUCGAGGGCAUGAUCAUCUGCGGGCGCUCGAAAAAUCCGUUUCAGGAACGGAUUUGAGAGCGCCCGCAGAUGAUAAUGUCCGAUAAAAUGUGUACAUAUGCCUCACUCGGUCAUCAUCAGAAAUGACGAGGCUUUACCGGAGGCAGUUUUUGAUUUAAAAUGUGUUUAAACAGUGGAUUUAUGCAAAGUUUAAAUGCAGCCGCGCAAAGUAAGAAAUGGGGAAUUAUUUUGAAAUUUACUGGUCGUGACGGAUAAAUAUAUCGUCAGAAUAAGUCAUUGUUUUCAUAGAUGUUUCUUUCGUACAGGUCUAUCUUAGUAAGUUAUUUCGUUCCAAGUAAUUUUUUCUAAAAAUGUAUACUUCCAACCUAUUGUCACUGAAGUAUUUCAAGCAUACAGCAGGAACGUUGAAGGUACAUAAACACUAACAUAAAUAUAUCGUCAGAAUAAGUCAUUGUUUUCAUACUAGAUGUUUCUUUCGUACAGGUCUAUCUUAUUUCGUUCCAACUAAAUUUUCGAAAAAUGAAUACUGCCAACAUAUUCAUGGUAUUGUCACUGAAGUAUUUCAAGCAUACAGCAGGAACGUUGACGGUACAUAAACACUUACAUUUACAGCAUAGUCUUUUGAAAGUGUUGAGUAAAUAAAAUUGACGUUGCCAAUAGAACAAAAAUGUUGACUGUUGUCAAGAGAGUGCAGCUGGUAUAAUUUGAAAGUGGAUUGAAAUAUUCAUUUUCUUUAUCCCUGCAUGCAUGAGGAAACUGGUGCUUAUUCAGUUCCACAUUUAUUCUUGGAAAGUCGUCGAAGGCUGGAGUUAUAAACAAAGUUCAUAAUGACUUCAUAUCCAGCCAUUACGAAGGGAAGUAACUGCGCGUGGACCACUUAAUGGAUAUGAAAAACACAUAACAGGGCUUAAACGGCACGUGAAUCGCCUUGUUAAUACACGAUUUCUCCCGUUCAAACCCUCCUUUUGCCAAGAUUCGUCACCCCGCCAGAGUGCAUACUAGAUAGAGUUUAUGCAAUAAUAUCUGGACAACACCUUUACAUGCGCAUAAAUGUUUGACCCCUGUGACAUUGACCUUGAACUUGUGAUCAGCGUUAAGGUUUCGAAAUCUGCGACCGCGAUUCAAAAAAGCUCAUAACGUCUGUGUCCCUUCAGAUAAAAUUGCUUUCAUAUUUGGUACGUAUGUGUAUCUGGACAAGACUUUUUCAUGUGCAUAAAUAUUUGACCCCUGUGACCUUGACCUUGAACUUAGGGUCCGCGUUUAGAUUUUAAAAUAUAUAAUGUGGUUAUCUCUGCCGUCUGUGCGUCCGUCCUUCCGUCCUGGCCACUAUCUCCUCCUACACUUUUAGCACUAGAAAAUUGAAACUUACACACAUCGUAGCUAUGGGCAUAUGUGCGACAGUGCAGUAUUUGGAAUUUUGAUCUUACCCCUGGGUCAAAAGUUAUGGGGGUUGGGGUGGGGCCGGAUCAGAGAUUUUCACUCAUUGUUUAGGUUAUUUUACAUUGACUUGUUCAUUUCUACACCCAUUUACUUCAAAUUGAUACGAAAAUCUCUUAUAACAAUACGGUUAAUCUUAACUAUGCAUGGCCCCAUUACCAAACCUGGGGCGCCCCUGGAUCAAAUAUGCGGCGUUGGGAUACGCGUCGGCCUCUGCCGCGCCAUUUCUAGUUUAUAUUGUAUUUAACGUAUCUUAUGAUUUUGCUAACGUAUCUUACAUUACUAUCUGAACUCCACCUUGGGUAUAUCAGAAAGAAUACAGUGAUAGGGAGAUAAUUUGAAUGUGUAUGACCUUCAGGGACAUGGUACUUUUAAUAAUUAGACAUGUUAUAGUAAUAUGAGCUAGAUACCUUCAUGAAAUGCGCAAUGACCUAAAGCAGUUUGUUUACAAUAAACUGCACAAUCUGUGUUUCAUCGAGAAUGUAGACUUUAAUAAACGUAUACUAAUCCCAUUAAUGAAGACCGCUGUCUUUUUUUCUAAUUUACCAUAUCUAAUAGCUGUCACUUUGUUAGUACAUGAUCUUUUCUUGGCACUGUAUACAGUAAAGAUGAUAAAAAUAAUCACAAAAAUUAUAAUAAAAAAAAACUUGACAACGAGAGUGCUCCUACUGUUAGAUUUCAUACGAUUUUAUAUUCAUCACAUUUAUUUAAAAUUCAUUGUGAUCUUAUUUGAUUAUACCGGUAUAUGACUACCAAUGCGCUACUUAUUAUGUUAGACUUCUGGCAUACAGAGUUUGAUAAUGAUGUAACUUGAUUCUUUUACAGAAUAAACAAUGAACUAAU